ensembl:lncRNA
CUCGAUGCCUUCACUUCAUCCAGGAGCUGUGAAAUGGCGCUGCUCGUCCUCCUGUUCUUCUUCCAUCUGAUUCUGGACAUUAACUCUCAAUAUGUUCCUCUCCCAGCUCCAGUCACAGUGCUGAAUCAGAAACCGAGACUAAGCGUCAGUCAUGAUGGUCAGUUUGAUGUAUUCAGAUUUGUGUGUGAAAUAUCAGGGUCAGAGUCAGUAACUGCUGAUUUUAGCUGUAAUCUCUACACUGGAGAAAAUCCUCAGCUUUUCCUAAACCGAACAUCUCAAAACGGAAACUCUGUGAAGGUUUGUAGAUUUAAAGCACAGGGAGACGCUGUGUUUAAUCGUCUGCAGUCAGUAAAGAGUCGUGAAGUGAGCUGUGAUUAUUCACUGAUCUCUGACCCGACUGCUCGCUCUCUAAUGAGUGAUAAAUACAACAUGAUGCGUAAGUUAUAAUAAACAAAUUAUGUAUUCCAUUACUUUAUACCUUUGAAUAAUUUUAACUCAUUUUCAUUUCAUCCUUUGUCAGAUUUCUUUACAACAACAACAACAACAACAACAACGACUCAGACAUCCACUCCUGAAGAGAAACCCAGUGCAGAUUUGAGUCUGGUAACGACGCCACCAUCCACAGCUACGGAGGAACCUACAGCAGCUUCUCCAGUUUUUUCAACUCCUCUGAUCACCACAAGACACACAGCGACUCGUAAGUUUACUGUGUAGUAGGUCUUACUAUGAAACUAGAAAGACUUUAAAACACCAGACACACACCUUUAAAACAGUUCCUGCUGUAACAGUUAAUGCAUUCGACUUGUUAUAUGCUGUAGUGUAUAUUGCUGGAGUGAACUUUGUGCGGUUUUACUAUGAGAAUGUCCAUUCAUGGAUUUAUAUUAUUCAUAUCAGUUAUAACCGGAGAAUUCUUUCCUGUAGCUGAAAGUACCAGAGUUACA